GUGCUUCAGGGAUAGCAAGUCCCCUCAUAUUAAUCCAUCUAAAUCACUUUGUCAGCUGUCUCUUUGUUGUCUUGCUGAUCAUUAUAGGGUGGUACAUAC